GGCUUUGGGGCGGUUUGCGGCAGUGGGAUCAUUGGGCGGUGGGCGGUGUGGAGGAGUCUCCGCUGGUCCGCAGAAACGAACGAAGGCGCGAGAAUCGGGAAGUUCUGCCUCAGUGACCUGUACGCGUCCUAGCCGCAGUGAAUGUUGCUGAACCCCGGUGACCUCACAGUGGAGGGGCGGCCCCAUGGGGCCAUCGGACCGCGCCGCGCGGGGGCGUUCGCCAGGGCCUCCGCAGAAGCCCGCCUGUGCCCGCAACCGCCCCGAAAUUCUCUCCCUGGCACCGUGUCCGCUUUACGGAGCCCGGAGCAAGGCUCAGAAAAAUGUCCCAGCCAAAAACAUGGUACAUGCCUGUCAUCAGGAUUGCCCUUUACAGUUCAUGAGUUCCCCCAACUGGAGUGCAGACAAGAGCACUGAUUGAUGGACCAGGUAGACUUGAAACCAGGAAUAGCACAAAAGUUAUCAAAGAGGCUCAGCCAUGGAGAUUGCAAGCUGGGGAUGGAAGUAUCCCUGGAAUUGAGCUGUUCUCACACCUGGUACCUGAGUUAUACCCCUGGUGUCUGGGUACCAAGG
ensembl:lncRNA ZNF584-DT ZNF584 divergent transcript